UCGCCCUCCGCCCCAGUUGAACUUUAUUGAUAAUCCAAACUUUUGAAGUAUAUCAAAGUCACCAAUUUUGUUUAUAUCAAUCUAAUUAUAUUUGCUUCAUGACCAGUUCCACAACCCCAAGUGUUGACUUGUUAUAAUACUUACCACUUCAUUGCACUCCUCGACGCUUCCAUUGAAUACAUAUUACAAAACUUCAGAAUGUUUCUUCUUCCUAACUUAAGCUAUUUCCAUUCGACUUAUCCAGCAAUAUCGAAUAUUUUGUGUAUUUCUAGCAAAUCCAGCCCCACAGUGCUAAAAUCAUACAUACUCGUAUUAUAAGGACUAGUAAAACCACAAAGAGAAGAAAACGAAUUAAUAAGCUUAACUCAAUAUCAACAUUAAACAUGCAUUCUGCGGACUUCUUUUCUUUACAUAAAUUCCUCAAAGUCCCCAGAGGGUACUCCCCACAACAUGAAAAUAUUUACAAGCAAAGAAACAAGACGGUCUCACCAGCUUUCAGAUAGUUUCAAAGUCUUCGAGCGGUUAGGUCACGACUACGUUACGGCGCUAGUUCGGGAUAAGCGAACGUUCAGCUUGAGUAAUGCCACCGGCAGUCCAAACACCAGCAGCCACGCAAAACGACCCUGAAGCCAUCGUAUUCAAAAAGGAGUCAAAGUUACCGCGAAUUUUGGCAGCUGUUGCAUACAUUGUAUCCGUGAGUUCAUUAGGAUUCAUCUUAUCAGUUUACUUCUUAUUCUUCUGGGAUUCAACACAACCCCAUGUUCUACCAGAUAUACACAAUAAGUCUUAGUUCAAUAAAGAGGAGAUAAAAUUGUCAUUCCUGAAAAUAUUGCAAUAAGGCUUCUCAACUCAACUGAAAUAUCAGCUGAGCAAUUCUACCGAAGCCUGCAACAAUACAAUCAUCUACUGCAUCGUUUUAAGCAUAAU
rnacentral:misc_RNA from 1 species